CGAUCCCUAGCUGGUCUGAGAGGAUGAUCAGCCACACUGGAAUUGAGACACGGUCCAGAUUCUUACGGGAGGCAGCAGUGGGGAAUAUUGCACAAUGGGCGAAAGCCUGAUGCAGCCAUGCCGCGUGUAUGAAGAAGGCCUUCGGGUUGUAAAGUACUUUCAGUUGUGAGGAAGGGGGUAUUGUUAAUAGCUGUAUCUCUUGACGUUAGCAACAGAAGAAGCACCGGCUAACUCCGUGCCAGCAGCCGCGGUAAUACGGAGGGUGCGAGCGUUAAUCGGAAUUACUGGGCGUAAAGCGCAUGCAGGUGGUUCAUUAAGUCAGAUGUGAAAGCCCGGGGCUCAACCUCGGAACUGCAUUUGAAACUGGUGAACUAGAGUACUGUAGAGGGGGGUAGAAUUUCAGGUGUAGCGGUGAAAUGCGUAGAGAUCUGAAGGAAUACCAGUGGCGAAGGCGGCCCCCUGGACAGAUACUGACACUCAGAUGCGAAAGCGUGGGGAGCAAACAGGAUUAGAUACCCUGGUAGUCCACGCCGUAAACGAUGUCUACUUGGAGGUUGUGGCCUUGAGCCGUGGCUUUCGGAGCUAACGCGUUAAGUAGACCGCCUGGGGAGUACGGUCGCAAGAUUAAAACUCAAAUGAAUUGACGGGGGCCCGCACAAGCGGUGGAGCAUGUGGUUUAAUUCGAUGCAACGCGAAGAACCUUACCUACUCUUGACAUCCAGAGAAGCCAGCGGAGACGCAGGUGUGCCUUCGGGAGCUCUGAGACAGGUGCUGCAUGGCGGUCGUCAGCUCGUGUUGUGAAAUGUUGGGUUAAGUCCCGCAACGAGCGCAACCCUUAUCCUUGUUUGCCAGCGAGUAAUGUCGGGAACUCCAGGGAGACUGCCGGUGAUAAACCGGAGGAAGGUGGGGACGACGUCAAGUCAUCAUGGCCCUUACGAGUAGGGCUACACACGUGCUACAAUGGCGCAUACAGAGGGCAGCAAGCCAGCGAUGGUGAGCGAAUCCCAAAAAGUGCGUCGUAGUCCGGAUUGGAGUCUGCAACUCGACUCCAUGAAGUCGGAAUCGCUAGUAAUCGUGAUCAGA
rnacentral:rRNA from 1 species